rnacentral:rRNA from 1 species
UACGAAGGGGGCUAGCGUUGUUCGGAAUCACUGGGCGUAAAGCGCACGUAGGCGGAUUCUUAAAUCAGGGGUGAAAUCCCGAGGCUCAACCUCGGAACUGCCUUUGAUACUGGGAAUCUUGAGUAUGGUAGAGGUUGGUGGAACAGCAAGUGUAGAGGUGAAAUUCGUAGAUAUUUGCUAGAACACCAGUGGCGAAGGCGGCCAACUGGACCAUAACUGACGCUGAGGUGCGAAAGCGUGGGGAGCAAACAGG